AUUGAACGCUGGCGGCAUGCCUUACACAUGCAAGUCGAACGGUAACGGGUCUUCGGAUGCUGACGAGUGGCGAACGGGUGAGUAAUACAUCGGAACGUGCCUAGUAGUGGGGGAUAACUACUCGAAAGAGUGGCUAAUACCGCAUGAGAUCUACGGAUGAAAGCAGGGGAUCGCAAGACCUUGUGCUACUAGAGCGGCCGAUGGCGGAUUAGGUAGGUGGUGGGAUAAAAGCUUACCAAGCCGACGAUCUGUAGCUGGUCUGAGAGGACGAUCAGCCACACUGGGACUGAGACACGGCCCAGACUCCUACGGGAGGCAGCAGUGGGGAAUUUUGGACAAUGGGCGAAAGCCUGAUCCAGCAAUGCCGCGUGCAGGAUGAAGGCCUUCGGGUUGUAAACUGCUUUUGUACGGAACGAAAAGCCCCGGGUUAAUACCCUGGGGUCAUGACGGUACCGUAAGAAUAAGCACCGGCUAACUACGUGCCAGCCGCCGCAGUAA
rnacentral:rRNA from 1 species